rnacentral:rRNA from 1 species
GAUGAACGCUGGCGGCGUGCCUAAUACAUGCAAGUCGAGCGAACAGACGAGGAGCUUGCUCCUCUGACGUUAGCGGCGGACGGGUGAGUAACACGUGGAUAACCUACCUAUAAGACUGGGAUAACUUCGGGAAACCGGAGCUAAUACCGGAUAAUAUAUUGAACCGCAUGGUUCAAUAGUGAAAGACGGUUUUGCUGUCACUUAUAGAUGGAUCCGCGCCGCAUUAGCUAGUUGGUAAGGUAACGGCUUACCAAGGCAACGAUGCGUAGCCGACCUGAGAGGGUGAUCGGCCACACUGGAACUGAGCCACGGUCCAGACUCCUACGGGAGGCAGCAGUAGGGAAUCUGCCGCAAUGGGCGAAAGCAUGACGGAGCAACGCCGCGUGAGUGAUGAAGGUCUUCGGAUCGUAAAACUCUGUUAUUAGGGAAGAACAAAUGUGUAAGUAACUAUGCACGUCUUGACGGUACCUAAUCAGAAAGCCACGGCUAACUACGUG